rnacentral:rRNA from 1 species
UACGGAGGGUGCAAGCGUUGCUCGGAAUUAUUGGGCGUAAAGGGUAGGUAGGUGGUCUCAUUUGUCUGGGGUGAAAGCCUUGAGCUUAACUCAAGAAGUGCCCCAGAAACGGUGAGACUAGAGUCUUGGAGAGGGUCGUGGAAUUCCCGGUGUAGCGGUGAAAUGCGUAGAGAUCGGAAGGAACACCAGUGGCGAAGGCGGCUACCUGGACAAAUACUGACGCUGAGGCGCGAGAGCGUGGGGAGCAAACAGG